rnacentral:rRNA from 1 species
AGUGAACGCUGGCGGUAGGCCUAACACAUGCAAGUCGAACGGCAGCACAGGAGAGCUUGCUCUCUGGGUGGCGAGUGGCGGACGGGUGAGGAAUACAUCGGAAUCUACUCUGUCGGGGGGGAUAACGUAGGGAAACUUACGCUAAUACCGCAUACGACCUACGGGUGAAAGCAGGGGACCUUCGGGCCUUGCGCGAUUGAAUGAGCCGAUGUCGGAUUAGCUAGUUGGCGGGGUAAAGGCCCACCAAGGCGACGAUCCGUAGCUGGUCUGAGAGAAUGAUCAGCCACACUGGAACGGAGACACGGUCCAGACUCCUACGGGAGGCAGCAGUGGGGAAUAUUGGACAAGGGGCGCAAGCCUGAUCCAGCCAUACCGCGUGGGUGAAGAAGGCCUUCGGGUUGUAAAGCCCUUUUGUUGGGAAAGAAAUCCAGCUGGCUAAUACCCGGUUGGGAUGACGGUACCCAAAGAAUAAGCACCGGCUAACUUCGUGCCAGCCGCCGCAGUAA